UCAGCGUGCGUUUGGAGGCUUUCUAGCGCGCUCGCUGAGCUCCUGUUCCUCGCUGCUGUUCAGCUCCGGCUGCGGCAGUCAGAGGCGGCAGGGAAAAUCAGCACACACCGCUGAGAGGCCUGCUGUUACCGAGCACGACCGGAGGAGCACACAGAAAGAGUGUGUGUGCCUCGAUGCGAGCGAGCAGACCCCGGCAGAAUGAAAACCGCGAAGAAUUAAGCGAAUUUUAGGACAUGCUUCCUGUGCCGUAUGCUCCUGUGCAGAUCCCAGAGACAGGGUGACAGGGCAGAUUAAUGUCACGCAGGGGCUCAGUCCCCCCUCUCUCCCCCAUGAAGAGGGGUUUAAGGGGUGGGGGCUGGCGUUACUUCGGAAGAAGAAUAAGCUUGUCUGCGUAUGAAGAAAGAUGUGUCUGAGUCCCACCGGGCCACACUGGGACCAUUAUCCAACAGGAGUGAAACCUGUGGGGGUCCAUGGCAGGAGCAGUGGGAGGGAGGCAGUGAUGAGUUUGGGGGAGGCUCGGGACUGUAGUCCCUGUACCCAGCCCCGCUAAUCUCCCUCAAUGGCGGGGGAGGACACAUACUGUAAGGACGGAGAGGAGGUGGAGAGUGUAAGAUGGGGCCCCUCGAGCUGGCCGAAGAGCUCAAACACAACUGCACAGGAGGAAUUCAGAAUGGGAACACGGCCCUGAGCAACUCUGAAGCCUGAUAGACGAUAAAUAAUAAUAAAUUGUUUGAAAAUCAUUUACAGAUCAAAGAUAUAAAAAAGAUGUCUUCUCUUCUAAGCUUUGUGAUUUAAUAAAUCACAGUAUAUUUUAUAUCUAUAAUAUUAUUAUUUAUAAUUUUUACAAAAACUGAAACAAUAUGUAUAACACUUUUUAGUAACACUAAUAAAAAAUAAUUUGAAAAAAAAUUAUGAAUCAAAAAUGUGAUAAAGAUUUUUC